rnacentral:rRNA from 1 species
AUUGAACGCUGGCGGCAGGCUUAACACAUGCAAGUAGAGCGAGAGGCGGACGGGUGAGCAAUGUCUGGGAAACUGCCUGAUGGAGGGGGAUAACCACUGGAAAGGGUAGCUAAUACCGCAUACCAUCAGAUGUGCCCAGAUGGGAUGAGCUCGUAGGUGGGGUAAUGGCUCACCUAGGCGACGAUCCCUAGCUGGUCUGAGAGCAUGACCAGCCACCCGGGAACUGAGCCACGGUCCAGACUCCUGCGGGAGGCAGCAGUGGGGAAUAUUGCACAAUGGGCGCAAGCCUGAUGCAGCCAUGCCGCGUGUGUGAAGAAGGCCUUCGGGUUGUAAAGCACUUUCAGCGAGGAGGCGUUACUCGCAGAAGAAGCACCGGCUAACUCCGUGCCAGCAGCCGCGGUAAUAC